GGCAAUGCUACCAAAUACUAAUGGAGUGUAUUUAAACUUCUGACCGACUGGGAAUGUGAUGAAAGAAACAAAAGAUUAAAUAAAUCAUUAUCUUUACUAUUAUUCUGACAUUUCACAUUCUUAAAAUAAAGUGUUGAUCCUAACUGACCUAAGACAGGGAUUUUUUACUCUGAUUAAACGUCAGGAAUUGUGAAAAACUGAGUUUAAAUGUACAUGGCUAAGGUGUACCUAAACUUCCGACUUCAACUGUAUGUAUAUAUAUAUAUUUUAAUUCUCAGGACAUUAACCAUGUGCGUUCGCUUGUUUUUUACUGUUCUAUAGUUUCGACCCAACUGGCAAACAAAGAACUGUGUGUCCUGCAGGCCCAGGCAUGGAUCAAAGCUGGCGAGACAUUCAAUGAUGUCGUCUUCACUGAUUAAUCAACCAUGGCCCUUGUUCAAUUUGCUCAAAAUCAAGCAAGCCGGGUCCCAAGCAUUUGCUCAAACUACAUGUGUGGAUGUAUGGGGGGAAAAUUCUCGCCAGAGAAAUGAUUUUUGAUGGUAUCAUGGCUCGAGAUUUCUUUGAUAUGCUGGACCGUAUGUCAGAGAGGUGUUUCUGGGACCACAUCGUUUCUUUCAACGUAGGAUUAUAGCAAUAUUUUGUUAAGUUUAGGCCUAUUUACAUUAAUAUUUCUAUUAUUGUAGUAAUGGUUUUCAUCCUCCUCUUCUGAGGAGGAGUAGUGAGAAGGAUCGGAGGACCAAUGAGCAGGGUGGUAAGUGUCCAUAAUGUUUAAUCAAAAUGAACACUGAAAUACAAAACAUAGACAACCCACCCAACUCACACCCUGACCAUACUAAAACAAAGAUAUAAUAACAGAACUAAGGUCAGAACGUGACAAUUGUACCUGAUGUUGGCUGUUAGAAUAAAUGUAUUUUUUUCCUUCUCCAAAUGCAGACAAUGACCCAAAACACACUCCCGCCCAGGUUUGCAUUGCAAAUGAGGGCAUAAACUGGGUCAAGAUGCCAGCAGAGUAAAUAGACCUUUAUGUAGUACAAUAAAGGUUUAAUACAAAUUUGGUAAAAAACAAAUGACCUACAACACCUUCGGUAGUCCUACAGUAUAUCUAAAAACUUUUUUUCAUCUCUACAUGUAGGUCUCCUAAUUUAAACCCAAUCUAACUUGUUUGGCAUCAACAGAAAACAUUAAUCCGUAACUCUCCCAAGUCGACAAGCAAAGAUGACCUGGUCGAGGCCAUCAAGAUGUUUUUGUGAGAGAAAUUGACGAUACAACAAUGCAUCAAAUACAUUGAUCAUCUCAGCAAGGUUUUUCCUAUGGUCGUGGAGCUGGGUUGAAGUGCGACUAAAAUGUAGUUUAAAUAAACAUCCGCAUUUGAAUGUCUUUUUUCUCAUUAUUUUAUUAACAAAAGCAUAAAGAUGUUGAUGAGGAAAUACUGUACUACUGUUUUGUGUUAGAAAUGUAACAGUUUAGAGUACUUAAGCAUUGAAUACAUUGCAAGUUGAGGGAUUUUCACAACAGUAGCCGGGCUAUAAAAAGCCUAUUGUCCUGCUAAUAGGAAACAUUUGCAUGAUGGUCAACACCUGCUACAGUACUACAGUAAACCUGUUUUCAAAAUGCCUCCAGUUGUCCAUCACAACAGUAAAUAAAAACACAGCAUCUUGUUUA